GUGUUUUCAGCUCAAUCAUGUUGAUGUUGAGAAGAGCUGCUGUUGAGUCUCAUAUCAGUGUGUGUGAGUGUCGUUCGUCUCUUUCUCUGCUGGAGUUUGUGUUCAUUUGAGUGUGACGGAGGUUUUUGUACGACGCUUUCACUAGAAUGAAGCACUGUGGUGGACUUUCGGUGGAGGAACUAAACUGAUGAUCAGAACUGGUCCCGCAGUGAAGCCCUCCGUGUCUCUGCUGCCGCCCUCUUCUCUGCAGAUCUCUGGAGACUCAGCCGCACUGCUCUGCCUGCUCAGCUCUUACUCUCCACAGGGGGCGACGGUGAGCUGGACGCUGGACGGGUCAGAGGUCACCGAGGGGGUUCAGACCAGCGCAGAGAGCGAGCGGGACGGACGCUACAGCCGCAGCAGCGUCCUGAGCCUCAGCAAAGCACGCUGGGAAGGCGCGGAUCGCUUCGUCUGCAGAGUAAGACAUGACGGAGCUGAUCACGAGGCCUCGUUCCUCAAGAGCUCCCAGUGCUGAUGUUUCUCCGGUCCAGACGAGCCGUAUCUGAGCGUCCGGCAGGAUUCACAGCAGUCACGUGAUUUACAGCUCAAUACUGAAGCAGUCUUUCAAUGUGCUGCCAUUGCUGUUCAUUCAAUAAAGCUUCUGAACGCGUUA